GCCAGUGUGGUGUAGUGGUUUGACAUUUGAACAAGAACUCUAAGAAACCAGGGUUCAAAUCCCUGCUCAGCCC